rnacentral:lncRNA from 1 species
GUAUAGGUCUGCGGGAUUCGCCUGUCGCUUCCCUCUUUGCCUCGGUGUCAGUCGGUGGGGAGCACGUGUUUUCCCGUUUUAGGGGCCCAGCGAGGUCGGUGGCAAAUGGCGGAAGGAGCCCAGGUGGCCUUUGGGGUUUUGAAAAACGCAAAUGAACUCUUAAGUAGUAGAGCACGCAGGAGCGAGGCCCUGGGUUCUAGCUCCAGACCAGGAAGGUAAUUAAUCCUUAGAGUGAAUCCUCAGAAUGGAAUUCUUAAAAAAGGGCAACCUUGGCUGCUUCUAGGAUAUUUUUAGCAAACAAGUAACAUUUAAAGUUUAUGAAAUUCUAACCCAACAAUGUGCUUGUGGAAAGUUCUUCCACUGCUCUUUUGACUGUUUAGACAAUUUGUCAAACACUUUUCUAAUUUAAAGAUGAAUGGAAAUUUUCAAAAAGAGCCCUAGCAUGAGCGUCUUCUGUUGUCUUUCCUUCUUCUCUUCCUCUUUUUCCUUUUCCUCAAAAGACUUCAUUACAAGUGAUUUCCUAAUGAUAUGGCCUGUGCUUAUGCAAGGUGGCCAACUUUCAUUUUUUCUUUUUUUAAAUCUUUAUUUACUUUUCACCUGGUGCUGAGGAUCGAACCCAGUGCCUCACAUGUGGUAGGCGAGCGCUCAACAGCUGAGCCACAACCCCAGCCCCAACUCUUUUCUUCUAAUUCAUAGUUUAAAAAAAAAUUUUUUUUCUCCCUGGUACUGUUAAAGAGCUGGGGCCUUCUGAAACACUGAGGUAGUGUUAAAAUACACCUUUCAAACCUAGAUUUGGGUGAUGAAGUCAGAUUUCAGACAUGCCACGCAGAGUAACAGGAAUGAAUUUAUUGAAGGGACAGGAGAAAGGAGGCCCUCUCAAAAGAGAGAGUGGGUCGUCUCCGAGAGGAGAGAAACAAUGUGCCUCUCUUUUACUCUAGUGUUAUUGGGAAUCCCAGAGAAGUUCCCAAAGAAUCCUGCUCAGGUCCACCCUCUUUACUUUUGACUGACAGCAAGAUGACAUCAGACUUCCAAGUACCCACUGCCAUGGCAACUCUAGAUCACCUUAGCCCAUGCUGAUCAGUUCAUAAUUGGAUUAUUAACCAUAUAGUGUUACAGAUUUUAUGGUUAGGAGGAACUGUCAUCUCCCAGACUUUUAGGAUCUGCUCACAAAAAUCUUCCCCUUAAGAGUAAUUUAUCAACAUUAUUUUGGGCCUGCAUUUCUCCUGCAGUUAACAGGUAGUUUGCUGAGGAAUGUGACAUGUCCUGUCCAUUUAGGCCAGUCAGGGCUGCAGGUAUAGCUUCUUGGAAAAGAAAGCAUGUACAGGUCAGCACUGUGGACCUAUUUUAUAGGAUUAUUCUCUUAACUUCAUGUUCCCUCCAUUCUCAUCUCUCUCUUCCCUAACAGUAAUAGGGAUUGACCACAGAGAGCUUUAUUACUGAGCCAUAUCUCUAGCUGGUCUUGAACUUGCACUCCUCCUGCCUCAGCCUCUCAAGCCUCUGUGAUUACAGCUAUGCACCACCAUGUCCAGCCUCCAUUCUUUUUUAAAUUUGAUUUUGAGACAGGAUCUCCCUGAAUUGCUCAGGCUGGUAUUGAACUUUUGAAACUCCUGUUUCAGUCUUCCCAGUCCCUAGAAUUACAGGUUUGCACCACCGUGGCCACCACUGCUUGAUUUUUUUUUUUUUUUUCGUAAGAAAUCUAAAUUAUCAACAUCCAUGUCUCAGUUUUUUCUUGUGUAACAGGGACUUGAACCAGGUUAUUUUUGCACACAAAUUGUGUGGCCACCUGAGGCCAAGUAUAGGUUUAGUGGAUUUCUUCCCUGGAGAGAGGAAGGUACCUCCAAGUGAGAUUGCCACUGGCUUUGGUCUCCAACCUCUUGGGAAAAGUAGUGCCAUCCCAUCUUUACAGUGGAGGCAAAGGAGAGGCUGUAAAACACUGGAGCCCCAGAGACAAGCUGUUUGUCAAGCUAUGGAGUUAAAACUGUGAGAAGCUUAGAAGGCAUUCACCUCGAUUACUUAAGCAAUGUGUGUGGGAAAGGACGCUGUUUAUCAUAUUUAAAGCUCCAGAUUGACCCAUAAAAAUGUAUCCCUGGGGCUGUGGCUCAGUGGUAGAGCAUGUGGCAUGUGUGAGGCGCUGGGUUCCAGAUUCUCAGCACCGCAUAUAAAUAAAUGAAUAAAAUAAAGAUCUAUUAACAACUAAAAAUUUUUUUUUUAAAAUGUAUCCCUAGCUGUGUGUGGUGGGGUACACCUGUAGUCUCAUCACUCAGGGAGGCUGACGUGGGUGGAGCCCUUGAGUCCAGGAAUUUGGGACCAGUUUGGGCAACAUAGCAAAGCACCUGUCUCUAAAAAUAAAAUAAAAAUCUCUUUAUUUAGCCAGACUCAGUGGCCUAUGUCUGUAAUCCCAGUAUUUGGGGAGCAGAAGGAUUACAAAUUCAAAGCCAGCCUCAGCAAUUUAGCAACACCCUGUCUCAAGAAAUUAAAAGGACUGGAGAUGUAGCUCAGUGGCUAAACACCCCCCCCCCAAAAAAAAAUUUUUUUCUAUUGAGUUAAUAUCUAGAGUCUCUUUUGGGCAUUGUAGAUUUUUUGGUAUUUUUGAAAUUGAAAAGUUGAAUGAUUUUUUUUUGGGGGGGAGGGGGUAUUUUUGAAAUUGAGGACAACUUCCUCAUGCUGAAAGUAAAGGCUAAAAGGCUAGAAGGUGAGGAAUAUCUAAGAGGCUAAGUAGAGAUUACCCCCUGCCCCACCAGUCCUGCACAGGUUAACUAAAUCUGCAUGUGUAUUUACUGCAUUUUUUUCUCAAAUUGCCAUCUCUAUUAAAUUUUUCUUUCCACAGAGCCUCCAAAGGUGGAAAUUGAUUCAUGUGUUUUGUUUGUUUUUGAACCCAGGGGUGCUUUACCAUUGAGCCAUAUCCCCAAGACCUCUUUUUUUUUUUGGAACUUGAUAAGUUCUUAGGGCCUUGCUAAAUUGCUGAGGCUGGCCUUGAACUUGUGAUCCUCCUGCCUCAGCCUCCUAAAUAACUGGGAUUACAGGCAUGUGCCACCACAAUCAACUAAGAUGGAAAUUUUGAAACAAAAAUUUUCCUUAAAUUGGCUUUGAAUAAAACCUAUUUUCCUGCCAACUUGACUGAAUAUUUGUAAAAUAAUGAGAGGUGUAGCCUAACCUCUCCAAACAGUAACAGUACCAUAAGGUAAUGUUAUUGAAAGCUUCUCCUUGCAUCCAAUGCCAAUCCAGUAAUGAGGACACAUUUUUGAGAAAAAGGAAAAACUUUUAUUGCUUUGCUAGCACAGGAGAAACACAGGGGACUCCUGUCCCAGAGGCUGUGAUUCUGUCUAUCAGAGGGAACAGGAGGUUUUUAAAGAGGUGAAUCCAAGGCUGCAUUCCACAUGUUCUCUGUCAGAGUUGUAAUUCACUUCUUAAUUUGGGAGCUGGUCUUUUCUGAGAUCUUCUGGUGUCAUCCCCAAAUCUAAAUUACUUUUUUCCUAUGGUGGGUGUGUCUUCAAGGACUGAUAACUCUGCCUAAAAUGAGUGAGAAAGGCAAUCCUGUGUCUCCUGAGAUUAUGGAGAGAAAGAAGUUAGGGAGGAGGAGAAAGAGAAGAAGAGAAAGAAACAUGCCCUUUAAAAAAUAAGUCACGGUGUCAGAGCAGCAAGGGCUAAAAUGGACUAUAACAGGGGUUCACUUGAUGCUUUGACUAUAUCCCUGGGGCUUUGAAACUUUCAUUUUUUUUUUCUUUUCCCAGACUUCUCCUUGGUCUUCUUUUUUUCUGGUCUCUCCUCUCUAUUCUUAUUUUCUCUUUUUCAUCUCUAUAAAAACCCCCCUGUUCCUAUGGAUGGGCAGAAUCACAGCCUUUGGGAAAGGAGUCCCCUGUGUUUCUCCUUUGCUAACAAAGCAAUAAACCCUCUUUUUUUCUUUUUCUCAACUGUGUCCUUGAGGUCGGGGAUACAGAUCAGCUGGUAGAACACUUAUCUAGCAUACACAAGGCCCUAGGUUCAAUCCCCAGCACUAUCAAAAACAAACAAAAAAACCCAACUGUGUCCCCAUUGGAUUGGUAUCAGGGACAAGGACCAAGCUUUCAGCAACAGGACCACUGUUACAAUAAAGCUCUAUGUAAUUUUCGGUCUAUAUUAUCACUCUACCCCUAUUCUAUACAUAUUUCUCAGUAAUCUGUCAGGUAUUGGGUUGGUAGUAGCUAGCAAUGGGAAGUGAAAUGUAUGUCAAAGUCACAGGUUUACUUCUAAGUACUCUUAAGAGUUUUCUUUAAGUUACUGCCAAGACAGAAUAAAUAAUUUGUAGCAGAUAGCCUGUAGAAAAACAUCAGAGUAUGCAAAACUUGAGGAUAAACAGACAAAAGUUAAAGGGAUAAUGGGGAGGGGGAUGCCUCAAGAAAGGAUUUAUGGAACUUUUUUGGGGGGGGAGGUUACCAGGGAUUGAACUCAGGGGUACUCAACCACUGGCUACAUCCAGUGUUUUGUUUUAAGUAUACAUGGGAUUUUUUAAUACCUUUAUUUUGUUUAUUUUUUUUUCAAAAUUUUUUAAAUAUUUAUUUUUUAGUUAUAAGUGGACACAAUAUCUUUAUUUUAUUUAUUUAUUUAUUCAUUGGUGCUCCUGAAGAUCAAACCCAGUGCCUCACACAUAUGAGGCAAGCGCUGUAUGGCUGAGCCACAACCCCAGGUCUGCCAGCCCUAUUUUGUAUUUUAUUUAGAGAUGGGGUCUCACUGAGUUGCUUAGCACCUCGCUGUUGCUGAGGCUGGCUUUGAACCUGUGAUCCUCCUGCUUCAGCCUCCCAAACCACUGGGAUUAGAGUCCUAUGCCACCACACCUGGCUGGGAUUAACUCUUGACAGGACCCAUCAAGAUCAAGAUAAAAUUAGAAGUUAUGGUACCAAGUGUCUUCUACUAGCUCAGAACAAGGGGUUCUUUAGUAGCACAGAGGCAGCAAGGUAACCUCUGACUGGCUACUGAUCCCAGUGCCCACAUUAACAUGUAAUUGACUUUCAGAUUAAGCCCCUCUACAUAGGAUGGCCACCAGGACAGUCCUGGAGGGGACCAACGAAGGUCAAAACCUCCACCACCAGAUGUGAAGGAGGAGUUGAACACCCAAUGGCAAAGAGUAUAGAGGGUAGUCCACAGUUCUCCUGGUAAACAAUCAAACAGUAAUAAAUUUGGAGACAGCAUUAUCUCCUUUGUCAUUCUCUCUUGAGUGCUCUGUGCUUGAGCCUUUCUUUACUUGUACUUUAUUCUCACCUAAUUUCUACUCUACUGUCAUUUAAAAUAAAGUUAUCUUACAUGGC